UUAAUUGUUGGUUCAGGAACCAUUUGUCGUCGGCGACGACGGGGACUCGGAUGCUAAGGUUGUAGCAGACCCUGGAGCACAAAAGUGGGAGGGAUAUCGCAAUAACGACAGCUACUGUGGAAAGGGUUCCUUAUCUGAGGAUGAGACGAACACCAUUGAACAUUUUCUCGCGUCAUUCGCUGUCCGGGACACUGUAUGGCAGCAGGGCGUCGUGUCUGUCUCGGCCGAUGCCGUUUUAGAACUACUGUUUGACGAAGCUGUGAAAGGCGAAGUCAUCGACGCGUACCUAUAUCAUCUAUGCAGCAAUGAAUAUCAGCUCCAACACAAUCCGCAGGUGCGGUGUGGUUGUGUGCCAUGGUUCGUAGCGAAAGCCGUGAACGACGCGCUAUCACGACCAAGCAGGGGAGCGAAAAAGCCGAGCAUCAAUAAGGGUAAUGUACUCGCGUUUGCCAACUCGCUGCAAGUGACCGUAGGCCAAGAGAUUGCCGGAAUCAUGGACAAAAUCCGGUCUGGGUGCCGGUACAUAUUUCUACCCGUACACACCCGGUUCCACUGGCAUCUCUGCAUACUGGAUACCGUCAAACGUGUUGUGUUGGAGUGUAACUCAAUGCGCGACCCCUUCGGGCAGGGGAAUGCAAAG